ensembl:lncRNA
AGAAGCGAACACGGAGCGCACGGAAGACGUUAAACGAGUGAAACGGCGGAAUGUGAGCAGAACGCGACCUCUCGUUUGGCGGUCAGCUUCUCUGUUGCUAAGGACGCGAAAAGAGACGGAGUCGUGAUUUUUCGCUGCAUUGGCGGAUUUGGAGAUCGGGAGUGUGUUCUUUGAGUUACUUAAGCCUAAGCCUUAGGUGCCUCGGUAAAAGAAGAAGUGGAGUAUGUAACCGGGGAAAGUGCGGACAAAGAUUUAAUUGCUCUGGAAGGUGCACUGACUGAAACACACACAGCGCUGGCGCUGCUGCAGUGAGUGACGAGUGAGAAUUUGGUGAUCAAGCACAGCAGAGAGUGGAUAACUGGGGAACUGUGUCCACGCCGGGGUCUCGCUGUGGACUGAAGUCUCUCUCUCUCUCACACACACUCACACACACAGGAGUGACACACACACACAGUGGAUGUUCCCCGGCGGUGCGCCUCUUCCAGAAGAGACAGUGCUUCGUGUUUCCAGCUCGCCCCCCAUUUGAAUGCCUUUGCCGGGGUUUUGUGGGGUGCUGUGCUGCAGGCAAGGCUUCAGUUUGCUGGCGCGGGACUAUGGGGACAAGGAAGAGGAGGAGGAGUCCCUGGAGCUGCGCAGCGCGGACGAGCGCGCGUGCAACGGACGGGGACCACAGGAGGUGACUGUCUCUCAGCCCACCCGCACGGUCAACGUGAAAAAUGGGUAAGUGCGUCCUCUUCCUCUCUGUGUUUUGCUGUGUGUGUAUAGUUACUUGCAGACAGAUUGGAGAAUGUUUUCCACAGUAAACGGCUUCCGUUGUCCUGAUGAACUUCAUGUCCACUUUACAGGUCACACUAUUCCUGGAAAUCGUUGGGAACCCAUACCAUGUUGUAACACAGCAGGGUUCCUCAAAGCUUAGCCUGGCAUGUCAACAUUUCAUCCACAGCUCGCAAGCAGUGUUGACCAUACUUCUUUCACUCUUGGAGGAAGUGUUGACUGAGCCAGCCUUUAAUUGCUGAAAUAGAACAGAAAGCGAGUCUAAACUGUCCUGUCAAGGCUAAGAGUUGAGGACCCCUCUUAUAGACCAUGAAUCCUCUGUUGACAGUUCAUUCUGGGCUCAGAAAGGCUCAGAAACACAUUGCUGCUGAUGCGUGGGCUGCUGGGAGAUGAUUUCCACGUGCUCUUCUCAACACCUCUCGCCGCAAAUCUUGAGCGGACAUUGAUCAGCCUGAAAUAGUUGGUUUCUGAUAAAACGCCCAACGGCGAAUUACAUCACCAACUGGCUCAGCUAGUUACUCAGUCACCUUGUGCCGGAGGGGAAAGGCACGAUAUUCUGGAACAACCCUCACCCACUUCUGGGAGUGUGAAUAUGACCUGACCUGUUAGCCAGAAAAGGGUCCCCCUGCAUUCCUCCCCGUGAGUGGUGCUUGUCCACGUCUCCCAGCAGCGCUCCAUCCAGGAUUCGUGAGCCAUAAAGGACAUUAUUGAAGUCGUUAAGUAAGUACAUAAAGCUGAAAGUGCUGCACAGGAGGAUACACACACACAGGCCAAGGCAAGAACUGAUCCCGGGUGCUCACUUGUCAGGCUGGCGCACGAACCGUCACGUUAUUACCAUAAUUCUGCUGCUUUGCGGUUCCAUUUAUCAGAGUUGACUGUCAGUCGAACCCAUUUGUACAGGUGGAGCAAUUGAGGUUAAAGACCUUUGCUCGAAGGUACUGCAGCAGGGC